AGCUAUUUAUGGGAACUGCGGGAAACGGUGCUAAUACCGGAUAUAUUUUGAACCGCAUGGUUCAAAAGUGAAAGACGGUCUUGCUGUCACUUAUAGAUGGAUCCGCGCUGCAUUAGCUAGUAGGUAAGGUAACGGCUUAACAAGGCAACGAUGCAUAGCCGACCUGAGAGGGUGAUCGGCCACACUGGAACUGAGACUCUGUCCAGACUCCUACGGGAGGCAGCAGUAGGGAAUCUUCCGCAAUGGGCGAAGCCUGACGGAGCAACGCCGCGUGAGUGAUGAAGGCUUCGGUCGUAAAACUCUGUUAUUAGGGAAAACAUAUGUGU
rnacentral:rRNA from 1 species